UCUUUGUUUAAAACUUAUUGACGUGCUUGCACUGAUUUAAGUUUUGGACGCUAGAUAGCGGCAAACGGGUGAGUAACGCGUGAGCAAUUUUCCUUUAAGUCAAGCAUAGCUUCGUGAAAACGGAGGUAAUACUUGAUGUGGCCUUAGAAUCGCAUGGUUCUUGGUUAAAGGUGGGGACCUUCGGGCCCACCGCUUAAUGAUAAGCUCGCGUCCUAUCAGCUUGUUGGUGAGGUAACGGCUCACCAAGGCAUUUGACGGGUAGCUGGUCUGAGAGGAUGUCCAGCCACACUGGGACUGAGACACUGCCCAGACUCCUACGGGAGGCUGCAGUCGAGAAUAUUUAGCAAUGGACGAAAGUCUGACUAUGCGACGCCGCGUGCAGGAUGAAGGUUUUCGGAUUGUAAACUGCUUUUAUCAGGAAAGAACCCUUGUCGGUUAAUAUCCGGCAAGCUGACGGUACCUGAUGAAUAAGCCACGGCUAACUCCGUGCCAGCAGCCGCGGUAAUACGGAGGUGGCAAGCGUUACUCGGAAUCAUUGGGUGUAAAGGGCAAGUAGGCGGUCUAGUAAGCGAGGGGUGAAAUCUUCCGACUCAAUCGGAAAACUGCCUUUCGAACUGCUAGACUUGAGGUAAACAGAGGGAAAUGGAAUUUCCGGUGUAAGGGUGAAAUCUGUAGAUAUCGGAAAGAACACCAACGGCGAAGGCAAUUUCCUGGGUUUAUCCUGACGCUAAACUGCGAAAGCUAGGGUAGCAAACAGAAUUAGAUACUCUGGUAGUCCUAGCUGUAAACGAUGAGUACUAGGUGUUGGAUCCUUGGAUUCGGUGCCGCAGCUAACGCAUUAAGUACUCCACCUGGGGACUACGGUCGCAAGGCUAAAACUCAAAGGAAUUGACGGGGGCCCGCACAAGCGGUGGAACAUGUGGUUUAAUUCGAUGAUACGCGAAAAACCUCACCAAGGCUUGACAUAUAAGAAGUAGUGAACCGAAAGGGGAACGAGCCGUCAAGUCCGGCAACUUAUACAGGUGCUGCAUGGCUGUCGUCAGCUCGUGUCGUGAGAUGUUGGGUUAAGUCCCGCAACGAGCGCAACCAUUGCCCUAUGUUGCCACCAUAUCUCGUCUUCGGACAUAGAUAUGAGCACUCUUAGGGGACUGCCCGGGAUAACUGGGAGGAAGGUGGAGAUGACGUCAAGUCAGUACGGCCCUUAUGCCUUGGGCGACACACGUGUUACAAUGGUCGAUACAAAGGGUUGCCAACCCGCGAGGGGGAGCUAAUCUCUAAAAGUCGACCUCAGUUCGGAUUGGAGUCUGCAAUUCGACUCCAUGAAGCCGGAAUCGCUAGUAAUGGGAGAUCAGCACGCUCCCGUGAAUACGUUCCCGGGCCUUGUACACACCGCCCGUCAAGCGAUGGGAGCCGGGGGUACCCGAAGUCCUAUGUAGAUAGGCCGAAGGUAAAUCUGGUGACUGGCGCUAAGUCGGAACAAGGUA
rnacentral:rRNA from 1 species